rnacentral:rRNA from 1 species
UGGUGGAGUGAUUUGUCUGGUUAAUUCCGAUAACGAACGAGACUCUAUCUUGCUAACUAGUCGCAACUUUAUUCUGAUUGUAGAGCUUCUUAGAAGGACAGGGGCUUCCAAGCCCACGAGAUUGAGCAAUAACA